rnacentral:lncRNA from 1 species
UUUACAUUUUGUGUGUAUAAUUUUUAAAUCAGUUAUCAGUAGUUACUUUAUAAGUGAGAGCACUAUAGUACCUACAUUCCGAGUUAAUAUGUAAAAUAUACAUAUAGGUAUGUAUAUAUUUAUUUUAUAAAACAAUACAAUAUUUUACGUGUAAUAUAGAAUCAGGUUCGUUUCAAUCAAAAUUAAGUUUGUGUUAUGACUAUGAACAAACCAAGAGGAAAGAAGUGUGUAUCCACUCCGGUAUAUUUACAUCGAUGAAAUGAAAAUUCAAUUGCAAAGUACCUAAUCGCUCUAGUCUUUAUCAAAUUCAUUAAGUGCGCACCUAUCUCACGUUUCCUUGGUUUUAAACCUUAUCAGCGACCAGAUUUAAAGUACUGAAAUGCCAUUAGUUUUACUUUACGGGCACUUAAAA